ACGCUCGACACCUACGGGAGGCAGCAGUCGGGAAUAUUGCGCAAUGGAGGAAACUCUGACGCAGUGACGCCGCGUGCAGGAAGAAGGUUUUCGGAUUGUAAACUGCUUUAGACAGGGAAGAAAAAGGACAGUACCUGUAGAAUAAGCUCCGGCUAACUACGUGCUAGCAGCCGCGGUAAUCUGAGCGGGCUGGCAAGGC
rnacentral:rRNA from 1 species